rnacentral:rRNA from 1 species
GACGGAGGGUGCAAGCGUUGCUCGGAAUCAUUGGGCGUAAAGAGCGUGUAGGCGGUUCGGUAAGUCUGUCGGGAAAUCCUGAGGCUCAACCUUGGACGUGCGAUGGAUACUGCCGGGCUAGAGGAUGGUAGAGGCGAGUGGAAUUCCUGGUGGAGCGGUGAAAUGCGCAGAGAUCAGGAGGAACACCCGUAGCGAAGGCGGCACUCUGGGCCGAUACUGACACUGAGGAGCGAAAGCGUGGGGAGCGAACAGG